GAUGAACGCUGGCGGCGUGCCUAAUACAUGCAAGUCGAGCGAACAGAUGAGGAGCUUGCUCCUCUGACGUUAGCGGCGGACGGGUGAGUAACACGUGGAUAACCUACCUAUAAGACUGGGAUAACUUCGGGAAACCGGAGCUAAUACCGGAUAAUAUAUUGAACCGCAUGGUUCAAUAGUGAAAGACGGUUUUGCUGUCACUUAUAGAUGGAUCCGCGCCGCAUUAGCUAGUUGGUAAGGUAACGGCUUACCAAGGCAACGAUGCGUAGCCGACCUGAGAGGGUGAUCGGCCACACUGGAACUGAGACACGGUCCAGACUCCUACGGGAGGCAGCAGUAGGGAAUCUUCCGCAAUGGGCGAAAGCCUGACGGAGCAACGCCGCGUGAGUGAUGAAGGUCUUCGGAUCGUAAAACUCUGUUAUUAGGGAAGAACAAAUGUGUAAGUAACUAUGCACGUCUUGACGGUACCUAACCAGAAAGCCAUGGCUAACUACGUG
rnacentral:rRNA from 1 species